AUUAAGAAGAUGCAGAUAUGGACCAGGGCUUUCUCCUUUUACAGGGUGAGUGCAGACUGGUGGAGUUCUGAAAAUAUCUGCUGGAAAGGACAGAACUAUUGAUCUGCAUUAAAGAGAACUGAGAACAACCAACCAGCCAGUAAAACAGUGACACCCUGGAGAACCUGCAGCCUUCCCUGGCAAUUAUAUGAAAGGCAAUUUGAAGAUUCUCCAAGCCACAUGGAAAACGAGUUAUCCCAGAAAUAACUUGUCUAUUCAUUAUUAAAAGCAUUUCUGCCUCUUUG